rnacentral:rRNA from 1 species
UGAGCAACCUGCCCUUGACCCUGGAAUAACAGCUGGAAACAGCUGCUAAUACCGGAUACGACCUCCGAUGGCAUCAUCUGGAGGUGGAAAGCUCCGACGGUCAAGGAUGGGCUCGCGGCCUAUCAGCUUGUUGGAGAGGUAACGGCUCACCAAGGCUUCGACGGGUAGCCGGCCUGAGAGGGCGACCGGCCACACUGGGACUGAGAUACGGCCCAGACUCCUAGGAGG